rnacentral:lncRNA from 1 species
GGGCCAAGGAGGAUGAAAGCAUUGGAGAUGAGGAUGGGAUGAUGGAUGAGCUUAAUCAUCCGAAUGAUGACGAGGGUGAUACUAUCUCUAACCGCACUGCAGAUGAGCAAAUUGACUACUUGGAGAGUCUUGAGCCAUGUCCCUGCUACGCCAAAUGCUGUCUUGACUCCAUUAUUACUCUUUUUUGUGUCACUCUUCUGGGAUAGUUAUGUAGGGGAUAUUAUAUUAAUAUGGAAGAAAUGAGGCAAUGAAAAAUACGAAUGGAAAUAACGAGAGUUGUUAUUUAUACUAGUAAAAUAAUAAGAAUGUUUCAGAUCCGCCUUAAAACUUUGAUAUGAUAUACUUAGAUUAAAUACCCACCAAUGAAGAAGAAAAUCCUUGUUUGAGAUGUCGAGACUCGGAGAAGUAUACAUCAAUAUGCAUAGAAAUGUUUUUUUGAACAAAAUUCUAAAUUCAUAUUCCACAUUUUUAUUUUUUCGUAUUGUCCAUCUACUUGAAUUGUUUUUAUUUAAUAUGUUAAACGAAUUGAUUGUUUUUUUAGCCUAUUAAUUGGUGCUAUUUUUAAUACUCUUCCAAUCACUAUGAAAAUGUAGAAUGAUACUAUGGUAAUUAAUUAGUAAUAAACAUUGAGUCAUUUGAA